UGAACGCUGGCGGCGUGCCUAAUACAUGCAGGUCGAGCGAACAGACGAGGAGCUUGCUCCUCUGACGUUAGCGGCGGACGGGUGAGUAACACGUGGAUAACCUACCUAUAAGACUGGGAUAACUUCGGGAAACCGGAGCUAAUACCGGAUAAUAUAUUGAACCGCAUGGUUCAAUAGUGAAAGACGGUUUUGCUGUCACUUAUAGAUGGAUCCGCGCCGCAUUAGCUAGUUGGUAAGGUAACGGCUUACCAAGGCGACGAUGCGUAGCCGACCUGAGAGGGUGAUCGGCCACACUGGAACUGAGACACGGUCCAGACUCCUACGGGAGGCAGCAGUAGGGAAUCUUCCGCAAUGGGCGGAAGCCUGACGGAGCAACGCCGCGUGAGUGAUGAAGGUCUUCGGAUCGUAAAACUCUGUUAUUAGGGAAGAACAAAUGUGUAAGUAACUAUGCACGUCUUGACGGUACCUAAUCAGAAAGCCACGGCUAACUACGUG
rnacentral:rRNA from 1 species